rnacentral:lncRNA from 1 species
CAUAUGAAGAAAAGACUGUUUCGUUUCAAUUAUGUUCCUGGUACCACGAUGAACGAGCACAUUACCAAUUUUAAUCAGCUGGUGGCUGAUUUGUUGAAUUUGGAUGUGACUUUUGAAGACGAAGACUUGGCGUUAAUGUUGUUGGGAUCGCUUCCUGAGGAGUUUGAGUACCUUGAAACUACUCUACUUCAUGGAAAAUCGGAAGUAACUUUCAAUGAAGUAACUGCUGCAUUGUAUAGCUAUGAACUACGCCGAAAGGAUAAGUUGAAAGGUUCAGGUGAAGCAGCAGUGGAAGCAUUGGUAACAAGAGGUCGUCAGCAAAGUCAGUCUAAUGGGAAGAGAAGAAAGUCCAAAGGUCGAGCUGUUGCCAAAGAUGAAUGUUCCUUUUGCAAAGAAAAAAGACAUUGGAAGAAAGAUUGUCCAAAAUUGAAGAAAAAAGGGAAGACUCCGCAAGAUGCAAAUGUUGCAGAAUGCAAUAGGGAAGACUUGGCGUUAAUGUUGUUGGGAUCGCUUCCUGAGGAGUUUGAGUACCUUGAAACUACUCUACUUCAUGGAAAAUCGGAAGUAACUUUCAAUGAAGUAACUGCUGCAUUGUAUAGCUAUGAACUACGCCGAAAGGAUAAGUUGAAAGGUUCAGGUGAAGCAGUAGUGGAAGCAUUGGUAACAAGAGGUCGUCAGCAAAGUCAGUCUAAUGGGAAGAGAAGAAAGUCCAAAGGUCGAGCUGUUGCCAAAGAUGAAUGUUCCUUUUGCAAAGAAAAAGGACAUUGGAAGAAAGAUUGUCCAAAAUUGAAGAAAAAAGGGAAGACUCCGCAAGAUGCAAAUGUUGCAGAAUGCAAUAGUGAAGCAGAGUCAGACUUUUCUCUUAGUAUGACAUCUUCAACAUUAUAUGCAGAUGAGUGGAUCAUGGAUUCUGG